AGGUAGAUGAUAUUUCAGAACAAAAUUCGUAAACCUGACCGUUUCUGCGCCUUAGCCGUUGCCGUUGCCGGAGAGCGUUGCGCUGCAAUCUUUUGAACUAAUUCUUCAACUAUGCUUCUGUUUUUUUUUGCUCCUCCUUCCUAGGUUCUUCGUGACCUUUGUUGAUUUGUGCAAAGUGUAGUGACUCGUAAGAUGAGGUUCUGAAAUGGAGGUGCUCUGAGGCUGUGCUGCUUGGAUUCAAAUCAUUCUGCUCCUUUGCAUUCCACCACUGCAACGUGCACGGGCUCUACUCCUCCGGUUCUGAAAAGGAGGAAGAGGUACAGGAGAGAGCAAAGGCAUUACUGAGGAGUUGAGGUUCGUCGGUAUGAGGCUUCGGAAUGUUAAUGGGGAAAAGUUAUCUGGUGAUACUGGGGAUUCAUCAAGUGAAGAUGGAGUAGAGGAGAAAGAUGACGGAAAUUUGGUGUUGAGCGAUGAUGAUUAUGAUGAGAGCGGGGAUGGUAUAGAGACUUGGCAACCGAGCUUGAAAAGAUGUCUUAAAUAUUUGGCUGAUAGUAAGUUCAUAUUCAGCACUGUGGAGAAAAUCAUUGAUGAACCUAAGCAACGUUGCUUGCUCUUGGUUCUUGGUUAAGGCCGUAAUCUCUUGGAGCGACCUCUAUGGUUCUUCCACUCCUUUCGAUGGGAAGAAACCAAUGACUUUUUUAAGAUUGUAUUUAGCUAUGGUCUAAAAUUGGUGCACAUUAAGCAAGGAAUAGUUACUUCAGAAAAUCAGGGUUGGAACAUUCAGAAUAUCUUGCAAAGGAUCUAAAAUGGUUCAGUGAACAGGGUAUUGUGAUACCCGAACCGAGCAGUCCAGGAGUUCCUUAUGCUGAGUAUCUGGAGGAACUUGCUGAGAGGAGUGCCCUUUUGUUACUUUUCCAUUACUAUAAUAUAUACUUUUCACAUAUAGCAGGUGGCAACAGGUAUGUGAAGUUGCUUUCACAAUGUGAUGCUACUGUGAUCUGAGAUAACAAAGUAUUUAUUGUAUUACCUCUUCUCUUAGAACUUUUUAUUCAAAGAUGAGUAGCAGCCUUUCUCCAAGGAAAGGAGGUGCCUCUGUCUGUGAUCUGAGAUAACAAAGUAUUUAUUGCAUUACCUCUUCUCUUAGAACUUUUUAUUCAAAGAUGAGUAGCAGCCUUUCUCCAAGGAAAAGAGGUGCCUCUGUCUGUGAUGUGCUAUAUGAGUCAUGAGUUAUAAACCAAUCCUUUGGCAUUCUUUAUAUCAUAAAUAGUGAUUGAGUUGUGGCUUCCUUCAUGCACGAGACGCCAGAAAAGAAAUAAUUUAUCCUAAAACUUGUUACGUAAAAUUUUAAAAACAUGUAUGAUGUAAUUGCCUGUUAUAGCUGAUAAAAAAUUUGUUAUGAUUUAUAUUCUUUUUCCGAAGGAUUCUGAUAGACUCGUUGAAGGUAGAAAGCUUGAAUUUUAUACAUGGGCAGGGGACGUAGAAGAACUGCUGAAAGUGCUCGUGAGAAGCUUAACAUGCUUGGAGAGCUAUGUGGAUGCUAAUGCAGCACUGAUCUCGAGAUGAGAAAAAUAAAUGCUCGAGAGAAGCAACCUAGUCAUUCCGCAUUUUGGGAAAGAUAGUUCGUUUGUUUAUCAUAUGAUCAGCUAUUUUAAGUGAUAUGAUUUUGAAGGUGCUCCCGGCACAAGACUAGAAUAUCAAGGGGCCAACAAACUGGGGUAGGGCUUGACAAUGCUCAGAAAAUGGUUCUCUUUCAAUCGAUCAAAGUUGCGAUGAAUCUACAGGGCUGCGCUCAUUCAGAGGUUUUGAUACUCUGAUUGGAAAUGAAAAAGAGCAGUGAUUUUGGACAGUGGUGGCUGCUGAAGGCAUGGAGCCAGUGACCUUCCCCAACUUGAGGAGCUAACCCCAUUAUUUUCAACAUUCCAUCAAAUGCCAUCAGAUAUGCAGAUAUGAAAUUUGGCACAAUGAUCGGGACAAUUUCUAGAACUCUUACCAUACAUACUUCAUUUGUUCACACUAUGAAUUAUGUUUUUAUGCUAUUGAACUCCAUACUGUUGUAGUGUUGAUGAUUUUGUAGGAAGGGAAGGGAUGGGAAGGGGGAGAAGUAAAUGGAAGCACGUGAAGGUAAGCAUUAAUGGAGGUAGCAGUAGUGAGGUUCUGUUUAGUCAAAGAUGGGUUUGGUAGCAGAAAGGUUGGUUUGUGUGAGUGUGGCUUAGUAGUGGGUUUGGCACUUAGGGUUGCUUUCCUUAUUCCAAAAUAGAAAAACGACUCUAUUUGGAUGCAACUCUGCAUAUUCUUUGCAAAUGAAUCAUUCUAGAAUGUAACUUCCUUUUUCUGCAUGGAACAUGCAGAGUUGCUAAUGGAGGACGGAGAAUUUUUUGCCCUUUCACAAUAAUGCAAAUAACUCUGCUC